GUGCAGAACUCAAAAAAUGGGCUUCAGAAACUGAAGCUCAAAGGAUCCCCAUGAUCAGUAUAAAAUCUAAGGCGUAAAAUACAUCACUAAAUGUCAAUCAUCAUCUGACAGACAAACAACCUCAGUUGUUGGACAUGUUACAUUUGUACUUGUAUUAUUUGGCACUCUAAGCUCAGGUGGGACCAAGGUGUCUGAGCUGGAACCCAAAUUUGUUAGCGGGUGCAAAGCAUAGGGUGAGUUUGUACUUGUUUGAUUAUCCACAUCCAUAAGCAACUCAAGUACAGAUAGAGAUGAACUAGAAAGUGCUGGCAAAGUUCCUGCAGUUUCAGGUCUCUCUGUAAAAUUAGGAUGAUGAGAUUGCUGUGCAGAUGGCUGUGGUUGCAAUGGAAGCUGGGAUGGCACUGCAGAGGCUGUAGGGGGAUGAUUGGGCAUAAGUUGACUAGGCAUCCCAACUGAAAGAGAGGGACGACUUGUUGCAACUGUCGAUGCUGAAGAUCUGAAAGGUUGUAGGUGGGGGGCAGGAGCUCGAAUUUCGCUGCCAAUUUGGAGAUUACCAGUGGCAGGGGAGAUGGAGCUAAUUAGAGGUGUUCUAGUUAGGGCACCUGUGAAAAGUGCCGAGGAAUGAUCAACCACCUGCAGAGAUGGAGAUGCGCUGUGUGAACUGGAAGCAGCAAUCUGUGGGCCACCUGUAGGCGGAACAGCUGAAGACAGACCAGUAAAGCUGGCAUUCCUCUGUGCAGUUUGCUGCGAUGAUAGCUGAAGCAGCUGUUGCAUGAAACUUGAGGCCACAUCUCGCUGCAUACCAGCUGCAAUAGGUGACUUAUUAUCCAUACAUUUAGAUCUGAAUGCCUCAGCCAAGAUCUUGUUCAUA
rnacentral:misc_RNA from 1 species